rnacentral:rRNA from 1 species
GAGCACGUAGGUGGGUUUGUAAGUCAGACGUGAAAGCCUUCUGCUCAACGGAAGAAUUGCAUCUGAAACUACAAACCUUGAGUGUAGGAGGGGAGAAUGGAACUUCUGGUGGAGCGGUGAAAUGCGUAGAUAUCAGAAGGAACGCCGGCGGCGAAAGCGAUUCUCUGGCCUAUUACUGACACUCAGUGUGCGAAAGCUAGGGGAGCAAACGGGAUUAGAUACCCCGGUAGUCCUAGCCGUAAACGAUGGGCACUAAGUAGAGGGGUU